rnacentral:rRNA from 1 species
UACGUAGGGUGCGAGCGUUAAUCGGAUUUACUGGGCGUGAAGCGUGCGCAGGCGGCCCGUUAAGACAGGUGUGAAAUCCCUGGGCUCAACCUAGGAAUUGCGCUUGUGACUGGCGGGCUUGAGUACGGUAGAGGGGGGUGGAAUUCCUGGUGUAGCAGUGAAAUGCGUCGAGAUCAGGAGGAACACCGAUGGCGAAGGCAGCCCCCUGGGCCUGUACUGACGCUCAUGCACGCAAGCGUGGGGAGCAAACAGG